rnacentral:rRNA from 1 species
AGUGAACGCUGGCGGUAGGCCUAACACAUGCAAGUCGAACGGCAGCACAGUAAGAGCUUGCUCUUACGGGUGGCGAGUGGCGGACGGGUGAGGAAUAUAUCGGAAUCUACUCUUUCGUGGGGGAUAACGUAGGGAAACUUACGCUAAUACCGCAUACGACCUACGGGUGAAAGCAGGGGAUCUUCGGACCUUGCGCGAUUGAAUGAGCCGAUGUCGGAUUAGCUAGUUGGCGGGGUAAAGGCCCACCAAGGCGACGAUCCGUAGCUGGUCUGAGUGGAUGAUCGGCCACACUGGAGCUGAGACACGGUCCAGGCGCCUGCGGGAGGCAGCAGUGGGGAAUGUUAGACAGUGGGCGCGAGCCUGAUCCAGCCGGACCGCGUGGGUGAAGAAGGCCUUCGGGUUGUAAAGCCCUUUUGUUGGGAAAGAAAAGCAGCAGGUUAAUACCCCGCUGUUCUGACGGUACCCAAAGAAUAAGCACCGGCUAACUUCGUG